UCUGCUCUAUUUUUCACCAUCACAAUAAUCAGACCUCCGCCAUCUCAAGAAAAAAGGUACCGUUUUUGGAAUUCUUCUUCUCCAUUCUUUGCAAAGACCAGAUCCUCUCACAAAAAAACAAAAAUGGGACUUCUUCCUCCUCUCUCACUCAUGCAACAAAAUGCACAACUCAUUCCUUUAAAAUCAGAAAUCACGAAAGCAUAUUCUCAGUUAAAAAAUGUGAAUCUCAUAGCAGAAAAAAUAAAAACAAAUAGAAGAAAAUUAUGUUCUUCUCCACUUCAAAUUUUAGCUGAAAAAUAGAUUUCUCUUUAAAUGUUGGAAUUGGGUUCGAAUCUGACGAAGGUGUAGGCUGAAAUUAAUUCGUAUGUCCGUCCGAGUUUUUUAUUAAAGUUAAGUUCCGGCUAUUUAAGAUCUGGGAUUAGUUGUAAUCCAGCGAUGUCGUGCCUUCUUCUUCUUUACUCAAGGCACAUGGAAUUCUCACUUAAAAAAAUGAAUUGAGAUUUAAAAUAAGAAGCUCUCUAUUUAUUUCUGGGUUUUCAAGAAGAAUUCUAGAUUCAAAUGGUUGUUCCAUUCUGCUAUUGUACUUUUGAUUUGCAGAGCUUCAUUUCCAAGUUUGCUUGUUCGCUUAUCAAUUUACUGGUUCCAGAACUCAAAUUUCAGAUUUAAUGCAAAUGGUAUAUUCCUUGUGGGCUUUGUUUGGUAUGAAUGUUAUUAUGUUAUUUUGUGUAAAAUCGUUUUGUGGAUCUAUUGGUGGUUUAAUAUUUCUUGUUAGUUUUUGUGGCUUCUAAGCCUGUUAGUUACACGCACACUUCUAGUCUCACAAAGAUCAGAUAUAAUGGUUGCAUUGGUGCUGCUCACUAAUGUUCUUGAGUAGUCCAUAUCAGCACUUUGCUGCAUCUUGAAUGUCUUUAUUAUUUGAAUGAUAAGUGCAGAACAUUGUAAACUAAGGCUAAGCAUUCCUGUUUCAGUAGCCUAAUGUAGGUUGAAUUUUCAGGCCAUUAUUCAAGCCUUGAUCUUUGUUUAAAUUCAUUUUAGUUCAUUGAUUAUGAGGAUUUGCCCCAUUUUACCUAGUAUAUACUUUUGUUGUUGGACUGGUGAUUAGUAUUGUUCUUUCAAAAUAGCAUGAGAUGAUUGCUAUUAAAAAGUUAGAAACAAUGCAAGAAAGGUAAUAAUAAUGUCAAACUUCCUCAGCUAUAAAUGUUUAUAUUAUCUCACGAUAUUGGAGAUUAACUUUUACCUACAUCUCUCCAUCCUCCUCUCCCUCUCUCGUGAUGUGUGCACAAAAGGAAACAUGGAAUAAAAAUUAUCUUUUCAUAAAUAAUCUUGGCAAAAAUCAUCUAGUUGUGAGGUCUUCUACAUGUUAAAUGUUUUUCUGGUUCCAAAACAUUCAUAUUAUUCAAGUGGCUUGCAUAGUCUGGUCUAAGCUAGCUCGCACUCCAUGGAGUUUGCAAAGUGGUGAGCAUCAGUAUGUUGGAGAAACAUAUCUGUGUAGUAGAACAACUUGAUAUAGUAACUGUAUUAUGGCUGCUAUACGACGCUGGUUUUGUGAGCACGUAUAUGAAUCAUUCCCACAAAAAUCAAACAAAUGAUUUUACUUUAUUUUUACAAUUUUUGUGCAUUUUUGUCAUUUUUCAAUAAUUGUUGCAUUUUAUUUUGUGCAUUUUAAUUUAAAAUAAAUACAAAAAAUAUGCAUUUCGCAUUUAAAAUUUAAUUUCAUAUUUCAGGAUUAAUUAGGGGUUAGUUUGUUAUAGAACAAAACAUGAAAAUCACAAAAAUAGCCAUUUUGGCGCUUUAGUUGUUAAUUGUUUAGUUUGUCUUGAAAUAGAUUUUUAAAUUUUUUUAGGAAUUAAUUAGUUUAAUUUUGGAAAUAAUUAUAUUUUUAUCCUUAUUUUGUGUAUUGUGUAUAAAAAUCAGAAAAUUUGAAAAUGUAUAUAAAGGUAAAAAUCAAGCAAAAGGAAAUAAGAAGAAGUUAAUUAAAAAGAAAGAGAAGAGAGGGCCAAUUGGGUCAGAUUCCCCCAGCCCAAAAAUACUCAAAAUCGAGCCUAGGCUGCUCCAGGCCUAAAUGCACCCAAACCCGGUUCCCCCACUCGAACUAAGCGACGGCGUUUUGCUCAGAUAAUCAAAGCUAUUAGAUCUUGAUCCAAUGAACGAGGGCGUCCUAGGAUUUUCCCUAUAAAACUGUCAGAACGAGCCGCCGGUGGCAGCGCCACCCCCAAACCCAACAAAAAUUACACAACAGCUCCCCCUCCUCUCCCUCAUCACUAAUCCCCACUUGAAAUUCCUCGAAUCAUAAUUCAACUCCUCUAAUCUAUGGUUUUAUUUUUUUGGCCAAACAUGAACUUCAUCCAAACAAGCUCAAAUUAAUACCUGAUAGUCUAUAGACCGUGUCCAUCUCGAGUCUGGGGGUUGUAUCUCUUUGAAUCGCAACAGGAUGCAUCCAAUCUCACAUCUAGGGUUCAUGCGUUCCGGGCUGUUCGUGGAUUUUUGCGAGUCGAGUUAACCCGGGUCAAUAUUAUACAUUUAUUUGUUAUAAAAUGAAUGUAUAAUAUUAACAUGAGUUUAAUUUCGAAGGGUUUUCUCACGAAGUUCGAAUUUCAGUAAGUUUUCCUAUCUUUCUUUUCUUUAGUUUUUAAUUUGAUUCAUCGUUCUAACUAGUCGAUUUAGCACCAUUGUAAUUACUAGUUUAAUCUACGUUUGUCUUAGAAUUUUGAAUAAUUAUUUAGGGUUAAUUUUCAUUUCUCUUUGUUGAUUUUUUUUUUGAUGGUUGGUCGUCCAGCGGUACACAGUUUAAAUUUCUUUUAAUUUAUUCAUAUUGGUUUAGAUCUGUUUUGUUCUUCUAGAGCUGAAUUGGAUUGAUUUAUUUAUUGGUUCUAUUUAUUAGCCAUUAAUCCAAUGAUAGUGUCAGUUAGUUUUGAUUAGAGUUAAAUUUUAGUUUACUGAUUGGUUCUAGGUGAUAUCGAUUCACUUGGGUUAACCUUAGUUAAUUUUUAGUAGGGGUAAAGAGGUUGGGUAUAGCUGACUUUAGUCUGUAAAUUUCAGAACAGUACAAGAGCUUUUUAGGCAUAGGAAAUGGUAGAAUCUUUUUAAAAUAGUAAAUUUAAAACAGGGGUAAAGUAGUGUAGGCAUUGUAUAGCUAAAAGAACCUUCCAAGACAUACCAAAUGGGGCAUUAGUGUAAGUUUUAACAAUUUUGGUAGUAGUUACUUGAGGAAAAAGUUAGAAAAAGAAGGGUUAAAAUAAAAAUGGGUAGGGACUGAUUUUGAAAACCUUUUGGCUGAUUUUUCUUUCUUCUUUACCUAUAUAAAGGCAUCAAAUGCCUUGAGGUAUGGGUCUUCUUUUUCAACAAUUAUUAACUUCCAAAACACUCUUUCUAUUUGAAUUUUUAGAUAUGCAGUAACUUUCAAACUUAAAAAAAAAAGAACAAAAAUCCAAUAAAAAUAAAAAAUAUACAACAAAAUCCAAACAAAGUACUGUUACAUUGCUCCUUUUGGUUAAGUUUUAAAAUAAGAAUAGGUUUUUCAGCUCAUUUAGUUCAUCACUGAUCCUUAAAGCUCACAGUUCCAAUUUCGAGCUUGAUUAGCAUUAUUUGGGUUAUAGUUGGUUUUUUAGAGGUUCUGAACUCGAUUUCUAGACUUUCUGAGUUCGUUCAAGUUGUUUGUGUUGAGUUUCCUGGUGAUGUUGGGUUUCACUGAUUCCUGAGUCUGAGUUAUCUUUUGGGUUGUUUUCUGCUGGUUUGGUGUUGCUAUCGACGUGCCUACUGUUGCUGACUUCCUCAUCCCAUUCUAUUUUCGUUAUUCAGGUACACAAUCAAACUCAAUUUGGUGUAAUUCUGAGAUGAACACAUGAGAUGAAAUGGAGCUAGAUUUCUGCAAAUAAAUUCAGUUAUUCUGUCGAUUUGAUCAUAGUCUUCUGAGUGCUAUUGGUUGUUCCUGUAAUAAUUAGACUGAUAACUGCAAUUGUUUACAUAAAUGAGUAGUAAACGUUUGGAAAUGCUAUGAGUUUAGCCUGUGAUAGUCUAGGUUAGACCACUGGAAUUUCCAUCAGUUAAAUGAUCAUUAUUAU
rnacentral:lncRNA from 1 species